rnacentral:rRNA from 1 species
UACGAAGGGUGCAAACGUUGCUCGGAAUUAUUGGGCGUAAAGCGCACGUAGGCGGCUUUGUAAGUUGGAUGUGAAAGCCCUCGGCUCAACCAAGGAAGUGCAUCCAAAACUACAAAGCUUGAGUACUUAAGAGGAUCGCGGAAUUCCCGGUGUAGAGGUGAAAUUCGUAGAUAUCGGGAGGAACACCUGUGGCGAAAGCGGCUCACUGGACCACAACUAGACGCUGAUGCACGAAAGCUAGGGGAGCAAACAGG